UAGAGCGUAUUCUGAUUUGGUUUUUGCAUAAGGGUGUUUGUUGUCUCAACAUGAGGACCAAGGAAGUGUCAAUGGCAGUAAAGCAGACCAUCAUCAAGCUGAAAAGUGAGAAAAAAACGAUCAGAGAAAUAGCCGAAACACUGGGUGUGUCAAAAUCAACUGUUUGGUACAUUGUUAAGAAGCAAGAACGAACUGGUGAGCUCAGCAAUACAAAACGAUCUGGUAGGCCACGGAAGACCACUGUGGUGGAUGACGAAAAAAUACUUUCAAUUGUUAAGAAAAAGCCAUUUUCAACUGCCGAACAGAUCAAGAACACACUUCAGGAUAUAGGCGUAGAUUUGUCAACGACCACUAUAAAAAGAAGACUGCACCAGCUUAACUUCAAAUGGUUCACGACCAGAUGCAAACCACUGGAUAUGACCUCCCACUCUCCGGACCAAAGUGGGAUGUCACUGCUCCAGGAGCAAGUUAGAAGGGAGAUCUUGCAGAGGAUGCAAACUAGGUUCAGCUCCAUCAUUGACAGUGAAACGAUGGAUUUGGAGGAACUGCUUAACAUUGCUCGACAAGAGCUUGCUGUGGCUACAGCAACAUCAAGUCACGUUAACAUCCCAGAGGAACUGGUCUGCAGUCUACAGGAGCUAAUCUGCAGACUUGACCAGUCCAUGCAGUCUACUGCAGAAGCACCAGCUAAUCCCUCAGAUACUGAAACUGUUACUCUGACCAAUUCCCCUUGCUCUAAAUGAAUGUUCUCCACCCCAUCCCAUUUAACACAGACUAUGUUGAUUUAACAACAUUCUGCAAUGAUGUCUACCAUUCAUGUCGUGUUUGUACUUGUAAAUAUAUAAAUAAUUUGCCCAUAAAACAUUUUGUUAAUACUAUGCCUUUUUCAUUAUUAUUCAUGGACAUUGUUUUUUUUCCAAAUGGCCAAUCGAAGUGCUGCCCACCAGAGGUGGGAUUGUUUAAAUGGAUGACUGUUUCCUGUUACUGAACACUGACAUUGAAGUUCUGAUGGGUGUAAUAUCUGUCCAAUAAAUAAGACUUUUCUUAAAAUCUGAAAUCAUA